rnacentral:rRNA from 1 species
GUCGAGCGAGAAGGAAAUCAAAGUUUACUUUGGUUUCUGGAAAGCGGCGCAAGGGAGAGUAACGCGUAGUUAUCUACCCCAAGGCCCGGAAUAGCUGCGGGAAACUGCAGGUAAUGCCGGAUAAUAUCCCCGGAUCAAAGGUGUGAUUCCGCCUUGGGAGGAGACUGCGUUGUACUAGCUUGUUGGUAGGGUAAUGGCCUACCAAGGCUACGAUGCAUAGCGGGCGUGAGAGCGUGGCCCGUCUCACUGGGACUGAAACACUGCCCAGACACCUACGGGUGGCUGCAGUCGAGAAUCUUCGGCAAUGGGCGAAAGCCUGACCGAGCAAUGCCGCGUGCGGGAUGAAGGCCCUCGGGUUGUAAACCGCUGUCGUAGGGGAGAAAGGUCUCAUGAAGAAUGAGAUUUGAUCUAUCCUAGGAGGAAGUCCGGGCUAAGUUCGUGCCAGCAGCCGCGGUAACACGAACCGGACAAACGUUAUUCGGAAUUAUUGGGCUUAAAGGGUGCGUAGGCGGUGCGGUAAGUGAGGUGUGAAAGCCCUCGGCUCAACCGAGGAAUUGCGCUUCAUACUGCCGUGCUAGAGGGAGACAGAGGUAAGCGGAACUGAUGGUGGAGCGGUGAAAUGCGUUGAUAUCAUCAGGAACACCGGUGGCGAAAGCGGCUUACUGGGUCUCUUCUGACGCUGAGGCACGAAAGCUAGGGU